AAAAAUGGCUGAACCGUUAGGAGACAAAACCGUUAGGAGGAGCAGAGGACUGUACUUCGUUUCCUUGGCAACCAAGAAAUUAGCUGCGGUGGCUACACAUGCACAGCAGUGUUUAUCACCAAAAAAACCCCCACAACGAUUUGUCAGUGUCACUCGACUGUGGAACCGCCCCAUCUCACAGGCUAACGCGUUCCCUCACCCCGUCUGUGAACCCAUCUCCUGCCUUCAGCCUGUUGUGCCUGUGAUCCACCAGUCACGCCAUCUCCCCGGCUAGGUACACACACUUAGAGCGUGCACACACAGACACGGAAACAGCAAGCACAAAUGAAGCUUAUUGCUGCAUGCUCUGAGAGAGAAAGAGAAGAGUGGCUGACAUGUGGGGUUGUAUUUCAGAGCUGAGGCGUAUAAGAGAAGAUUUUUUUUAUUGUUAAUCUGUUUCCCUCCCCUGGUUAAAAGUUGUAGGACUCACAGCUCCACACAGUGUUCGGUCUGAGUCACUGCACUCGUUUCCUUCUGGGACCUUGAAUUAAAUUAUUCAUGUUUGCAAAGAGA